rnacentral:misc_RNA from 1 species
UCUUCAGAUGAUGAUCCCAAGCCUUCUGGCGAUCUGUUUAUGCAAGCCUCUGAGGGGGUGGAAGAGAGUGUUUCUUUAUCAGAUUAUGCGAUUGAAAGUUUUCUAGUUUUCCUCGUAGGGCUUGUAGCUCAGUCGGUUAGAGCGCGCGCUUGAUAAGCGUGAGGUCGGAGGUUCAAGUCCUCCCAGGCCCACCAGUUACACUAUGCAGCAAAUUGCUCUGAGUCGAAAAUGUUAAAAUUUAGUGAGAAUAUUCACAAUCCCUUGUUGAAUAUUCCCUUAAAAAGAAUUUAUUGAAGCUGUCAAUUCUUCUAGGAGUAUUCAGAGCCUCCGCGGAAACUCAAAACCCUCCAUASAAACAAAGUCUUUGCGAGACUUUUUCACUCCUCUUCAAUAAGGGGAAAGAACAGAAAAAUAACGAGGGAAAUAAAAGGCCAAGAGUGUCUCUCUCUUUGUAAAAAAACUUGAAAAUUGUAAAAAAGCUUUGUUUUUACAAGUAUGACGUUUUUACAAGAGUAAGAUGAG